rnacentral:rRNA from 1 species
UAAUACGGAGGGUGCGAGCGUUGUCCGGAAUCACUGGGCGUAAAGGGCGCGUAGGCGGUGACUUAAGCGUGUGGUGAAAGCCCGGGGCUCAACCCCGGGUCGGCCGUGCGAACUGGGUCACUUGAGCACUGUAGAGGCAGGUGGAAUUCCGGGUGUAGCGGUGGAAUGCGUAGAGAUCCGGAAGAACACCAGUGGCGAAGGCGGCCUGCUGGGCAGUAGCUGACGCUGAGGCGCGACAGCGUGGGGAGCAAACAGGAUUAGAUACCCUGGUAGUCCACGCCGUAAACGAUGGGCACUAGGUGCUUGGGGGAACGACCCCCCGAGUGCCGGCGCUAACGCAUUAAGUGCCCCGCCUGGGGAGUACGGCCGCAAGGCUGAAACUCAAAUGAAUUGACGG